GAUUUGGCCUCCCGCUGCGAAUGGGACUGCUUUGUCUCAGCCGACAGAACCAGCAAGCCAGAAAGGGAAUGAAGACAUUUGGAGAAGAAGCGUUUACUGAAAGGAGAUUCCUGGGCUGGAGGAAAACCAUGAUCUACAGUUCAUACGAGGGAACUGAGCUGUCAAAACUAAGUGACUUGAUUGAGGCCAUGCAGCUGGCGAGGGGAGGACCAGGAUCUGAACCCAACUGGGUCUCCCAAGCCUGGGCCACUGAACCAUUUCACCUCUUGGAAAAACUUAAUGGUCAGAGUGGCCCACCCAGUCCAUGGACAGCAUGGAGGAUAAACUGCUUCCCUAGAAAUCCUCUCCAGCAUUCUUGCCACCACGACUUUGGGACACAUUGACCAUGAGGAGGAGCUGGUCAAUGAUGGACAGGAGUCCAGAUUAGCAGAGAUGUGGUAAUAAGGACACCGAUGCCUAAAUACUUGAAAUAUCCAAUAGGAAGCAUUCCACCUUUGUGCAAAUGCGAACCACAUCUCACCAAGUUCAGGCCAAGGCUGCCACCGGUGACGUUUUGGAAAAGAAAAAAAAAAGCGGGGGGAGAGGAGAGAAACAGAGAAGCAAGGAAUGCAGAAGAGAGCAGAGGCCACAAAAACAGCAGCAACGUGUCCUGUGUAUUCUGUUUCCUUGUAAAACUAUGAAGCAUGUUAAGGAGAUACUUCAUUUUUUGAGGAUUCAUACUCUUGUUUAUAUUAUAAUAAAAACAACCCAUGUUCUUUCUAAAAAUUUAGGCAAUGCCUUCGUGCACAUAAAAGUAAAACAAAAUCACCUGUAAUCCUACCACACGCAGAUCAGCACUUGCUAAUCUUUUCACAGGGAUCCUAAGAAUAUCCUAUUCUCUAUAGAAUAUAGUUGAUUUAUGUUACCUAAUAACUAACUGUUAACCAUUUUAAAAUUCUUCAGUUUUACAUUAUGCUAGAAAAAAGGAGCCGUCACUCUACGUGACAUUUCUGUAUAUUGGUUUAUUCAUUCAAUAAACAUUUUUUAAGUACCUAC
rnacentral:lncRNA from 1 species